GCCUGUGGUGCAGGAAGGCUGGACCUGCAGGCUCCUUCUAGACAGUGAAACUGGGCACUUGGGGUCCAGAGGCAGGGACUUCCUUGACAGAAUUGUGUCCUCUCCUCUCAGAGCCCCAUCAGCCACACCUGAUGCUGGAGGGCGGCAGCCUGAGCUCAGCAGAAUAUGAGGCCCGGGUAAGGGCCCGCCGAGAUUUCCAGAGGCUACAGCGAAGGGACAGUGAUGGGGACCGGCAGGUGUGGUUCCUGCAGCGACGCUUCCACAAGGACAUCCUGCUGAACCCCGUGCUGGUGCUGAGCUUCUGCCCGGACCUGAGCUCCAAGCCCGGACACCUGGGGACAGCUACUCGGGAGCUACUCUUCCUUUUGGAUGGCAGCAGCGCAGCACACAAGGAUGCCAUUGUUUUGGCUGUGAAGUCCCUCCCGCCCCAGACGCUUAUCAACCUGGCCGUGUUUGGGACGUUGGUGCAGCCACUCUUCCCAGAGAGCCGGCCUUGCAGUGAUGUGAGUGUGAUCCAGGGAUCUGGGGGCCUUACAGAGAGGUUUCAGCCCAGUGCGUCCCAGCCUGUGCCUUCUCUCUCCAGGAUGCUGUGCAGCUGAUCUGCGAGAGCAUUGAGACCCUGCAGGCUCCGAGUGGGCCCCCAGACGUGCUGGCUGCUCUGGACUGGGCCAUGGGGCAGCCCCAGCACAGGGCCUACCCUCGGCAGCUGUUCCUGCUCACUGCUGCCUCACCCAUGCCUGCCACUACCCACCAAACCCUGGAGCUCAUGAGGUGGCACAGGGGGACAGCCAGAUGCUUCUCCUUUGGGCUGGGGCCCACCUGCCACCAGCUGCUCCAGGGUUUAUCUGCCCUCAGCAGAGGUCAGGCCUACUUCCUGAGGCCUGGGCAGAGGCUGCAGCCCAUGCUGGUGCAGGCUCUGCGGAAGGCACUGGAACCUGCUUUGAGUGAUGUCUCUGUGGACUGGUUUGUGCCGGACACUGUGGAGGCACUGCUCACCCCCCGGGAGAUCCCAGCACUCUACCCUGGGGACCAGCUGCUCGGUUACUGCUCACUCUUCAGGGUGGAUGGCUUCCGGUCCCGCCCACCAGGGGGCCAAGAGCCUGGCUGGCAGAGCUUGGGUGGGUCCGUGUUUCCAUCCCCAGAAGAGGCCCCAUCUGUUGCCAGCCCUGGCACUGAGCCCACUGGCACCUCAGAGCCACUGGGAACAGGCACUGUAUCAGCAGAACUGUCCAGCCCAUGGGCUGCCAGGGACUCGGAGCGGAGUACUGAUGCUCUGACAGACCCAGUCACGGAUCCUGGACCCAACCCCUCUGACACAGCCAUAUGGCGCCGCAUCUUUCAGUCCUCGUACAUUCGGGAGCAGUAUGUGCUCACCCACUGCUCUGCCAGCCCCGAGCCAGGCCCAGGCUCCACAGGCAGCAGUGAGUCCCCAGGCUCACAGGGCCCUGGCUCCCUCGAAGGUAGUGCUCCCUUGGAGCCCCCUUCUCAGCAGGGCUGCCGCAGUCUGGCCUGGGGAGAACCUGCAGGCUCCCGCUCCUGUCCCCUGCCUGCACCCACACCAGCUCCAUUCAAGGUGGGGGCCUUGAGUACUGAGGUGCUGGGCCGUCAGCACAGAGCGGCUCUGGCUGGCCGAAGCCUCUCAUCCCCUCCAGGCCGGGCAAACCAAGUCCCCGGCCGACCCCGGAAACCCUCUUUGGGUGCAAUACUAGAUGGCCCAAGUCCUGAGCCAGGCCAACAAUUGGGACAAGGCCUGGAUGACUCAGGAAACCUGCUCUCCCCAGCCCCCAUGGACUGGGACAUGCUGAUGGAACCACCCUUCUUAUUCACGGCUGUGCCUCCUAGUGGGGAGGCCCCUCCAGCAGUGCCUCCCCAGGCUCCACGCUGCCAUGUGGUGAUCCGGGGCCUGUGUGGGGAGCAGCCUAUGUGCUGGGAGGUGGGUGUUGGGCUGGAGACACUGUGGGGACCUGGAGAUGGCUCACAGCCUCCCUCACCUCCUGUAAGAGAAGAUGCUUGGGACCAAGCACUCCAUCGGCUGACGGCAGCCUCUGUGGUCCGGGACAAUGAGCAGCUGGCCCUCAGAGGAGGGGCAGAGACCACAGCUGACCGGGGCCAUGCCCGGAGGUGCUGGCUUCGAGCCCUUCAGACAAGUAAGGUCAGCUCUGCCCCCUCCUGCUUCACUUGCCCUGUAGCUGUGGAUGCUACUACUAGGGAGGUCCUGCCUGGGGCCCUGCAGGUGCGCAGCUCAGAGCCCGCUGAGCCCCCAGGUACCCCUCCUGCCUCUCACAGCCAUCUAGAUGCAGCUCCUCUGCCCACUGUUGUCUACUCUAAAGGUAACACCCAAAGGUAGGGAAAGGGUAGGGGCACCUGGGCUUAGAGACCGCCCCCUGGCACUGAUGAUCCCCACUGCAGGACUUCAGAGAGGCUCUCCAGCAGGCGCCUGGGACUUGGACCAAAAUGGCAACUCCAAGUGUGCUUUGGGGGACCCUGCCACUCCCACGGAAGGUCCUCACCGCCCACCUCUCCGUCCUCCCUGUCGGCUCAACAUGGGCCGCCGUCACAAACUCUGUAGCCCUGACCCUGGCCAGGCCAACAACAGUGAAGGCAGCGACCAUGACUACCUGCCCUUGGUGCGGCUGCAGGAGGCACCAGGCUCCUUCCGCCUGGACGCGCCCUUCUGUGCCGCUGUGCGCAUCUCGCAGGAGCGCCUCUGCCGCGCCUCGCCCUUUGCCGUGCACCGCGCCAGCCUCAGCCCCACCUCGGCCUCAUUGCCCUGGGCACUUCUGGGCCCUGGUGUUGGCCAGGGUGACAGUGCCACGGCCUCCUGCAGCCCGUCCCCCAGCUCGGGCUCCGAGGGGCCAGGCCAGGUGGACAGUGGGCGGGGCUCAGACACCGAGGCCUCCGAGGGGGCGGAAGGGCUGGGCGGCACCGACCUGCGGGGCCGGACCUGGGCCACUGCCGUGGCACUCGCCUGGCUGGAGCACCGAUGCGCCGCUGCCUUCGGCGAGUGGGAACUGACAGCGGCCAAGGCUGAUUGCUGGCUGCGGGCCCAGCACUUGCCUGACGGCCUUGACCUGGCCGCCCUCAAGGCCGCAGCCCGGGGGCUCUUCCUGCUCCUGCGCCACUGGGACCAAAACCUGCAGCUACACCUGCUGUGCUACAGCCCAGCGAACGUGUGAAGGCCGCCCGCUGCUGCUUGGGCUGGCGCCCCGCCCAACACACUCAAGUCACUGCCGCCCAGGGCUGGCCUCUUGGUGCUGGGAAAGUGUAGGCUGGUGCCAGCCUGUCCCCCACUGCUUCUUACUCCCUCCCUAGAGCCCUCUUGCCCCCACAAAAAGUGCCUGCCUGUGCUCUCUCCCGCUCCUCCCACCCCACUCACACUCCCCUCCAUCCUCUGAGCUCCCUGCAGCCCAGUGGAAGGGUAGAGAGCCACAGUCCCCAAAUCCUAUGCAAUAAAGUGCCUCUUAGGA
rnacentral:sRNA from 1 species